GAUGAACGCUGGCGGCGUGCCUAAUACAUGCAAGUCGAGCGAACAGAUGAGGAGCUUGCUCCUCUGACGUUAGCGGCGGACGGGUGAGUAACACGUGGAUAACCUACCUAUAAGACUGGGAUCACUUCGGGAAACCGGAGCUAAUACCGGAUAAUAUAUUGAACCGCAUGGUUCAAUAGUGAAAGACGGUUUUGCUGUCACUUAUAGAUGGAUCUGCGCCGCAUUAGCUAGUUGGUAAGGUAACGGCUUACCAAGGCAACGAUGCGUAGCCGACCUGAGAGGGUGAUCGGCCACACUGGAACUGAGACACGGUCCAGACUCCUACGGGAGGCAGCAGUAGGGAAUCUUCCGCAAUGGGCGAAAGCCUGACGGAGCAACGCCGCGUGAGUGAUGAAGAUCUUCGGAUCGUAAAACUCUGUUAUUAGGGAAGAACAAAUGUGUAAGUAACUAUGCACGUCUUGACGGUACCUAAUCAGAAAGCCACGGCUAACUACGUG
rnacentral:rRNA from 1 species